UACAGAGGUCUCAAGCGUUGUUCGGAUUCAUUGGGCGUAAAGGGUGUGUAGGUGGCGCCGUUAGUCGGGUGUGAAAUUUCGGAGCUUAACUCCGAAACUGCAUUCGAUACUGCGGUGCUUGAGGACUGGAGAGGAGACUGGAAUUCAUGGUGUAGCAGUGAAAUGCGUAGAGAUCAUGAGGAAGACCAGUGGCGAAGGCGGGUCUCUGGACAGUUCCUGACACUGAGACACGAAGGCCAGGGGGAGCAAACGGG
rnacentral:rRNA from 1 species